UACGGAGGGUGCAAGCGUUGUCCGGAUUCAUUGGGUUUAAAGGGUGCGCAGGCGGGCGAUUAAGUCAGGGGUGAAAGACGGUUGCUCAACAAUCGCAGUGCCUUUGAUACUGGUUGUCUCGGGUGACCUUGAGGUAGGCGGAAUGGGUGGUGUAGCGGUGAAAUGCAUAGAUACCACCCAGAACUCCGAUUGCGAAGGCAGCCUACUGGAGGUUCACCGACGCUCAGGCACGAAAGCGUGGGGAUCAAACAGG
rnacentral:rRNA from 1 species